GUGAGAGAGUUCUUCCUGGCUUAUGAACUAUCACCUUCUCUUUCUGUCCUUACUUGGCCUGUGUCUGUGCAACCCUGUCUUUUCCUCUUAGAAGGACACCAGUCCUAUGGGAUCAGGGCCCCAUUUAUGACCUCAUUUAACCUUAAUUACCUCUGUAGAGGCCUCAUCUCCAAAUACAGUCAUAUUGGGGGCUAGGAGUUCAACAUAUGUAUUUGGUGGGGGCACAAUUCAGAUCAUAGCACUGAGGUACAUCCAGACAAUUGAAUAAUUUUCAAUGUUAAAAAGAAAUGAGCUGUCAAGCCAUGAAAAGACUUGGGGAGACCUUAAAUACAUAUCUCUAAAUGAAAGGAGCCCAUCUGAGGAGGCCACAUAGUGUAUGACACCAACUGUGUGACAUCCCGGAAAAGGCAAAUUUCUGGAGACGGUGAGAGGUCAGCGUGCGGGGCUGGGGGUGUGUGUAUGGAGCACAGAGGGUUGUCAGACCGUGAGAAUCCUCUUGGAUACGACCAGGGAGGCUACAUGCCAUUGUUUGUCCAGACCCACAGCACAUACAGCACCAGGAGUGAAGCUGGUGUGAACUGUGCACUCAGGGGGAGGACGACGUGUGAGCACAGGUCAUCGAUUGUAGCAAAGAAACUCCAGGCCAACGAGGAAAAUGGACAUGCUGGCAAGGCAGAAAGAGCAAAGUCCAGUGAUCACCUGUAACAGGUGUCCUCAUUUGGUAGACCCUGCACUCUGCCUGUGCGCAGGGCUCGGUGACGGACUGCACCCGGGUCAGAAGCUGUCAAGUUAGAACCAGGUGCGGUUGCCACACCCCAGAGGUCAGGCGUUGAUCGUGUCUUUUCCCUUCCUUCUUCCUCCUUCAGUUGACACACCUCAGUGACCCUGUAACCAAUAUCCCAUCAAGGAUUAACCCCCACACAUGCAAUCCAUCCCGGCCGCACCUUCUCUAUCCUAUUCUGGAAGACUGCCCGCUCCCACGAGCUACCAGCUUUCCAGAAACCACGCGGCUUUCAUCAGAUACCCUCACGUCCUUUCCUCUUGUCAGUGGCACUUGGAAAAGUGCCCCUAAGAACCUGAAAUGAGACGGCACCCUGCACAUUAAAUAAAGAAACCAGCACACAGAGCCUCACAGCCACAGAGUGCAACCUUACUGCAGGACCAUUGCUCAACUCCAGGGAAAGAAGUCACCCAGAUAAAGAAAAAAGGGGUGUCAACCAGAAAAGGAAUUAAUCAGCCGUGAACACAGAGGGAAAGGAGACUCAAAAGGCAUGUGCCAGAGAAGGAGGGACUCUGUCAGUGACUGCGUGCUGGGUCUGUCUGGCAAGUCCAUCUAUAACAUGGAAGUGGAUCCACCAGGCCAUUGGAGCCUAAUGCCACUGUGCCCAACCACCUGGGUUGUCACCCAAGCUUACUGAGCAACUUGGCAAUUACGUAGCUCGUCUAAAGGAAAGAGUGGGCUGCUGUGAUUGUGAAAUGCUAAUUAGCUUUCUAACUUUGUAUAUUGUCAUCUUCCGGGCCUUCUUUGAAUGAGUCAGCAUCUCAAGUCUG
ensembl:lncRNA